rnacentral:misc_RNA from 1 species
GAUGAAGAACGUAGCGAAAUGCGAUAAGUAAUGUGAAUUGCAGAAUCCAGUGAAUCAUCGAAUCUUUGAACGCACAUUGCGCCCUCUGGUAUUCCGGGGGGCAUGCCUGUUCGAGCGUCAUUAUAACCACUCAAGCUUUCGCUUGGUAUUGGGGCUCGCGGUUCCGCGGCCCCUAAAAUCAGUGGCGGUGCCUGUCGGCUCUACGCGUAGUAAUACUCCUCGCGAUUGAGUCCGGUAGGUCUACUUGCCAGCAACCCCCAAUUUUUACAGGUUGACCUCGGAUCAGGUAGGGAUACCCGCUGAACUUAAGCAUAUCAAUAAGCGGAGGA